rnacentral:rRNA from 1 species
GCUACUCAAGGGUGUAUGGUGGAUGGCUUGACAAAACAUGCUGAUGAAGGACGUAGCAGUCUGCGAUAAGCUUCGGUGAGGUGACAAGCAACCUUUGACCCGGAGAUGUCCGAAUGGGGAAACCCGGCUGGGGUAAUGCCCAGUCACUGUGCACUAAAUACAUAGGUGUACAGGAGGCACCCAGGGAAGUGAAACAUCUCAGUACCUGGAGGAAAAGAAAAUAACGAGUACUAUUCUCAUCUUGACGCUCGACCUAGUCGAGAAUCGAGAUGACGAAUAGUUGCUUACAUUCCCAAAGUAGUGGCGAGCGAAAUGGGAUCAGCCUAAACCAACCAAGUGAAAUACGCUGAAGUAUCUCUUCGGAGAUGUGGAUGCGAUAUGAAAGGUAACAGCCGUUGCUUGGUUGGUGUUGUAAGUCCAGAUGUGCACAUCUGUUAAUGUGCGGUAUGUAUAGAUGAUCUUUAGUGGAAUCUUCUGGAAAGAAGAACCAAAGAAGGUGAUAGUCCUGUACGCAAAAAGGAUGCAUCUACAUACGGUCUGGCACUUAAGUACGGCGGGACACGUGAAAUCCUGUCGGAAUCUGCCGCGACUAUGCGGCAAGGCUAAAUACAUGUUUUGAUCGAUAGUGUACUAGUACCGUGAGGGAAAGCUGAAAAGAACCCCGAGAGGGGAGUGAAAUAGANNAGACCCGAAACCGAGUGAUCUAACCAUGGCCAGGGUGAAGCGAGUGUAAUAGCUCGUGAAGGCCCGAACCCACGCGCCGUACAACACGCGGGGAUGAGCUGUGGUUAGCGGAGAAAUUCCAAUCGAACUCGGUAAUAGCUGGUUCUCCUCGAAAUAUGUUUAGGCAUAGCGUCGGUUAAUAGCGUGUUGGGGGUAGAGCACUGAUUGGGAUUGGCGCCUUCGGGUAGCCGUCCUAGCCAAACUCCGAAUACCAAUACGCGUUCCCGGCAGUCAGACCAUGGGGGCGAAGCUCCAUUGGUCAAAAGGGAAAGAACCCUGAUCUCAAGCUAAGGUCCCAAAGUGAUUACUAAGUGUAAAAGGUGGUGGGGAGACUUAUACAACCAGGAGGUUGGCUUAGAAGCAGCCAUCCUUUAAAGAUAGCGUAACAGCUCACUGGUCAAGUUUCCCUGCGCCGAAAAUAUACCGGGGCUAAGUAAUUCACCGAAGCUGAGGGUGUGAUGUUUCUUCGGAAACAUUACGCGGUAGAGGAGCAUUCCUAUUGCGCUGAAGUUGAGUCGUAAGGCUUGGUGGAGCGAUAGGAAGUGAGAAUGUUGGCAUGAGUAGCAUAAAGACAGGUGAGAACCCUGUCCGUCGAAAGCCCAAGGUUUCCACAGUAACGAAAAUCGUCUGUGGGUUAGUCGGGUGCUAAGGCGAGGCCGAAAGGCGUAGUCGAUGCACAGCAGGUUAAUAUUCCUGCACCGCGUUAUUGUUCUAAUGGGGGGACGUUUACCAAAGUUUCCUGUGUCCUAUGGCUAUGACACUGGGGGCUUGGGGUGGACUGGUAGGAAAAUCCGCCAGUCACAACACUCUGAGUCAUCGCGACCCCGCUUUUGCGGGGGAGAGGAAAGGAUGGUGAACCAAGAAAAGCCUCUAGGGUUAACAAUAAUGCGCCCGUACCAAAUCCGACACAGGUAGGCGGGUGUAAAUGCACUAAGACGUACGAGAGAAACAUUGUUAGGGAACUCGGCAAAACAGCGGCCGUAACUUCGGGAUAAGGCCUGGUUUUCCUCGGGAGAGGAAGACCCACAGCUAAUGACUACAAGCGACUGUUUAUCAAAAACACAGGUCCCUGCUAAACCGUAAGGUGAUGUAUAGGGGCUGAUGCCUGGCCAGUGUCCGAACGUUAAAGAAGUGGGUUAUCCCGCCUUUGGGCGGGAAAAGCUUGCGACUGAAGCGCGGAUGAACGCCGGCCGUAACUAUAACGGUCCUAAGGUGGAAUGACUGCCUUAGUAAAAUCUAGCUAAAUGCUGGAAUAUCUGGAGAAUCCUCUGAUACUAGGGUAUACUGUACAUAUAGUAUGCCAAGUAAAAAUUCACGAGGUGUGCCUUUAAAAAAGGUGCCAGACAAUCAGCAGGAAAGGCCAGAAAUUGCUGGAUGGAUAUGCGGAUUUGUUGAUGGAGAAGGUUGCUUCUCUGUUAGCAUCAUUCGCAACAGUACUACGAGUUCUGGAUGGCAGAUAUUUCCUGAGUUUGUUGUCACACAAGGUGAAAAAAGUAGAUCCUCAUUGGAGUUAAUACAAUCGUAUUUCCAGUGUGGUCAAAUUUACGAAAAUCAUCGGAGUGAUAAUCAUAAGGAACAUCUGUUGCGAUAUUGUGUAAGGUCAAAGAAAGAUUUAUUAGAAAUAGUAAUUCCGUUUUUUGAGAAGUACACUUUAAAUACUGCUAAGCGAGAUGACUUUCAAAAAUUUGUCAGGAUAUUAAACCUGAUAAAAGUAGGGAAGCAUUUAAGUAAAGCUGGUAUGACAAAGAUCGCGAAAAUAAUCCAGAGCAUGAAUAGAAGAGUACCAUCACGAUUUCUGGAAUCCUCAGAGACUACAUGCUGGAUUUCGCCAAAAGCGAAAAAGAUAUAGUCCGAUCUGCAUGGCGACAUGCAGGAUUGAUUACUCAUCAAUCACCUCAUUUAUGAGGAAACAAAAAGAGCGAAAUUCCUUGUCGGGUGAGUUCCGACCUGCACGAAUGGCAUAACGACUUGUAGACUGUCCCAACAAUGUACUCGGCGAAAUUGCGUGGGGAGUGAAGAUGCUCUCUAUGCGUAGUUGGACGAAAAGACCCCGUGAAGCUUUACUACAACUUGUCAUUGGAUUUAUGUUUCACAUGUUCAGCAUAGGUGGGAGCCCUCGGGCACCAGUGAGAUACCACCCUUGUGUUGUGUGAAUUCUAACCGGCAGCCAUGAAUCUGGCAGCUGGGACAGUGACUGGUGGGUAGUUUUACUGGGGCGGUAGCCUCCCAAAAAGUAACGGAGGCGUUUACAAAGGUUGGCUUAGCCCGGAUGGAAAUCGGGCUGAAUGUGCAAGCGCAGAAGCCAGCUUUACUGCAAGACUGACGCGUCGCGCAGUUGCGAAAGCAGAAGCUAGUGAUCCGACCGUUCGAUAUAGGACGGCGGAAGCUCAACGGAUAAAAGCUACUCCGGGGAUAACAGGCUAGUCUUGCCCAAGCGUCCACAGCGACGGCAAGGUUCGGCACCUCGAUGUCGGCUCAUCGCAUCCUGGGGCUGGAGNNGAACGUCGUGAGACAGUUCGGUCUCCUAUCCACUACGCACGUUGAAGAUUGAAAGGACUCAUCCCUAGUACGAGAGGACCGGGAUGAACUGACCUCUGGUGUACCAGUUGUUCCGCCUGGAGCAUGGCUGGGUAGCUACGUCGGGUUCGGAUAACCGCUGAAAGCAUCUAAGCGGGAAGUCGACCUUAAGAUUAAUCUUCUUAGACACCUCAGAGACUAUGAGGUUGAUAGGCACUAGGUGUAAGCUCGGUAACGAGUUCAGCCAAGGUGUACUAAUUGGUCAUAUGGCU